AAUAGAUACCCGGGUAGUCCACGCCGUAAACGGUGGGCACUGGAUGUGGGGCUCUUUCCAUGAGUUCCGCGUCGCAGCUAACGCAUUAAGUGCCCCGCCUGGGGAGUACGGCCGCAAGGCUAAAACUCAAAGGAAUUGGCGGGGGCCCGCACAAGCGGCGGAGCAUGCGGAUUAAUUCGAUGCAACGCGAAGAACCUUACCAAGGCUUGACAUAUACCGUUUAUCCCUAGAGAUAGGGAGUCCUUCGGGGCGGUAUACAGGUGGUGCAUGGUUGUCGUCAGCUCGUGUCGUGAGAUGUUGGGUUAAGUCCCGCAACGAGCGCAACCCUCGUUCUAUGUUGCCAGCGCGUAAUGGCGGGGACUCAUAGGAGACUGCCGGGGUCAACUCGGAGGAAGGUGGGGAUGACGUCAAAUCAUCAUGCCCCUUAUGUCUUGGGCUUCACGCAUGCUACAAUGGCCGGUACAAAGGGCUGCAAUACCGCAAGGUGGAGCGAAUCCCAAAAAGCCGGUCUCAGUUCGGAUUGAGGUCUGC
rnacentral:rRNA from 1 species